GCCCCUGUAGCUCAGUUGGAUAGAGCACCGCUUUCCUAAAGCAGAGGUCGCAGGUUCGAGCCCUGCCGGGGGUG
rnacentral:tRNA from 1 species